rnacentral:rRNA from 1 species
AACGAACGCUGGCGGCAUGCCUAACACAUGCAAGUCGAACGAAGGCUUCGUCCUUAGUGGCGCACGGGUGCGUAACGCGUGGGAAUCUGCCCUUUGGUUCGGAAUAAUAGCUGGUAACGGCUGCUAAUACCGGAUGAUGACGAAAGUCCAAAGAUUUAUCGCCAGAGGAUGAGCCCGCGUUGGUUUAGGCGGUUGGUGGGGUAAAGGCCUACCAAGCCGUCGAUCCAUAGCUGGUCUGAGAGGAUGACCAGCCACGCUGGAGCUGAGACACGGCCCAGACUCCUACGGAGGGCAGCAGUGGGGAAUAUUGGACGAUGGGCGCAAGCCUGAUACAGCAAUGCGGGGUGAGUGAUGAAGGCCCUAGGGUUGUGAAGCUGUUUUACACGGGGAGAUAAUGACUGUACCGGGAGAAUAAGCCCCGGCUAACUCCGUG